AAGCUUAGGAUAAACCAAACCGAGGGCCUUCAAAGCCCUAAACAGGGGCCAUACUCCCCUAGCUUCU
rnacentral:tRNA from 1 species